rnacentral:rRNA from 1 species
GACGAACGCUGGCGGCGUGCCUAAUACAUGCAAGUAGAACGCACAGUUUAUACCGUAGCUUGCUACACCAUAGACUGUGAGUUGCGAACGGGUGAGUAACGCGUAGGUAACCUGCCUGGUAGCGGGGGAUAACUAUUGGAAACGAUAGCUAAUACCGCAUAAUAUUGAUUAUUGCAUGAUAAUUGAUUGAAAGAUGCUAUUGCAUCACUACCAGAUGGACCUGCGUUGUAUUAGCUAGUAGGUGAGGUAACGGCUCACCUAGGCGACGAUACAUAGCCGACCGGAGAGGGUGAUCGGCCACACUGGGACUGAGACACGGCCCAGACUCCUACGGGAGGCAGCAGUAGGGAAUCUUCGGCAAUGGACGAAAGUCUGACCGAGCAACGCCGCGUGAGUGAAGAAGGUUUUCGUAUCGUAAAGCUCUGUUGUAAGAGAAGAACGGGUGUGAGAGUGGAAAGUUCACACUGUGACGGUAUCUUACCAGAAAGGGACGGCUAGCUACGUG